rnacentral:rRNA from 1 species
UGCCAGCAGCCGCGGUAAGACGAACCGGACAAACGUUAUUCGGAAUUACUGGGCUUAAAGAGUGCGUAGGCGGCUUGGCAAGUUGGGUGUGAAAUCCCUCGGCUCAACCGGGGAACUGCGCUCAAAACUGCCAGGCUUGAGGGAGAUAGGGGUGAGCGGAACAGAUGGUGGAGCGGUGAAAUGCGUUGAUAUCAUCUGGAACACCGGUGGCGAAGGCGGCUCACUGGAUCUCUUCUGACGCUGAGGCACGAAAGCUAGGGUAGCGAACGGGAUUAGAUA